rnacentral:rRNA from 1 species
GAGUUUGAUCCUGGCUCAGGAUGAACGCUGGCGGCGUGCCUAACACAUGCAAGUCGAGAGGGUUAGACCCUCGGCGAACGGGUGAGUAACACGUAGGAAUCUACCUUAGAGUCUCGGAUAACUCGCCGAAAGGCGAGAUAAUACGAGAUGGUCUCGCGAGAGUAAAGAUUUAUCGCUCUAAGAGGAGCCUGCGUCCUAUCAGCUUGUUGGUGAGGUAAUGGCUUACCAAGGCUUCGACGGGUAGCUGGUCUGAGAGGAUGAUCAGCCACAAUGGAACUGAGACACGGUCCAUACUCCUACGGGAGGCAGCAGUUGGGAAUAUUGCACAAUGGGCGAAAGCCUGAUGCAGCGACGCCGCGUGAUUGAAGAAGCCCUUCGGGGUGUAAAAAUCUUUUCUCUGGGAUAAUUAUGAUAGUACCAGAGGAAUAAGGACCGGCUAACUACGUGCCAGCAGCCGCGGUAAUACGUAGGGUCCAAGCGUUAUCCGGAAUUAUUGGGCGUAAAGGGUUCGUAGGUUGUUUUCUAAGUUGAAUCUAAAAGUCAGAAGCUUAACUUCUGGUUUGGAUCCAAAACUAGAAAACUAGAGAUUGGUAGGGGCAAGUGGAAUUCCCGGUGUAGCAGUGAAAUGCGUUGAUAUCGGGAGGAACACCAAUGGCGAAGGCAGCUUGCUAGACCAAUUCUGACACUGAGGAACGAAAGCGUGGGGAGCGAAAGGGAUUAGAUACCCCUGUAGUCCACGCCGUAAACAAUGGACACUGGGUAUUAGAAGCAUCGACCCUCCUUGUACCGAAGCUAACGCGUUAAGUGUCCCGCCUGGGGAGUACGGCCGCAAGGCUAAAACUCAAAGGAAUUGACGGGGGCUUGCACAAGCGGUG